AUUGAACGCUGGCGGAAUGCUUUACACAUGCAAGUCGAACGGCAGCACGGACUUCGGUCUGGUGGCGAGUGGCGAACGGGUGAGUAAUGUCUGGGAAACUGCCCGAUGGAGGGGGAUAACUACUGGAAACGGUAGCUAAUACCGCAUAACGUCGCGAGACCAAAGUGGGGGACCUUCGGGCCUCACACCAUCGGAUGUGCCCAGAUGGGAUUAGCUAGUAGGUGGGGUAAUGGCUCACCUAGGCGACGAUCCCUAGCUGGUCUGAGAGGAUGACCAGCCACACUGGAACUGAGACACGGUCCAGACUCCUACGGGAGGCAGCAGUGGGGAAUAUUGCACAAUGGGCGCAAGCCUGAUGCAGCCAUGCCGCGUGUAUGAAGAAGGCCUUCGGGUUGUAAAGUACUUUCAGCGGGGAGGAAGGCGGUGAGGUUAAUAACCUCGCCGAUUGACGUUACCCGCAGAAGAAGCACCGGCUAACUCCGUGCCAGCAGCCGCAGUAA
rnacentral:rRNA from 1 species